ACGUCCGAUCCCCUCGAUCCCUUCGAUCCCCUCGAUCCCUUAUGCCCUCGUGGCCGUGAGGUGACUCUGAUCCUCUGCUCCCUUCGCCUCGUGUCUCUUUUAAAAGCGAAAAACGUCCGAUCCCCUCGAUCCCUUAUGCCCUCGUGGCCGUGAGGUGACUCUGAUCCUCUGCUCCCUUCGCCUCGUGUCUCAUUUAAAAGCGAAAAACGUCCGAUCCCCUCGAUCCCUUCGAUCCCUUAUGCCCUGGUGGCAGUGAGGAGACUAUGAUCCUCUGCUCCCUUCACCUCGUGUCAACGGGAAAUACGUCCGAUCCCCUUUACUCGAUAGAACGUGCCAUCAGGAAACGCUCUUCUUCGGUUUCGUGCGUUCAAAUGUUCUUGUCAGUCGACCAGCGUU